GACGAACGCUGGCGGCGCGCCUAACACAUGCAAGUCGAACGAGCGAGAGGGAGCUUGCUUUCUCGAGCGAGUGGCGAACGGGUGAGUAACGCGUGAGGAACCUGCCUCAAAGAGGGGGACAACAGUUGGAAACGACUGCUAAUACCGCAUAAGCCCACGGGUCGGCAUCGACCAGAGGGAAAAGGAGCAAUCCGCUUUGAGAUGGCCUCGCGUCCGAUUAGCUAGUUGGUGAGGUAACGGCCCACCAAGGCGACGAUCGGUAGCCGGACUGAGAGGUUGAACGGCCACAUUGGGACUGAGAUACGGCCCAGACUCCUACGGGAGGCAGCAGUGGGGGAAUAUUGCACAAUGGGGGAAACCCUGAUGCAGCGACGUCCGCGUGGAGGAAGAAGGUCUUCGGAUUGUAAACUCCUGUUGUUGAGGAAGAUAAUGACGGUACUCAACAAGGAAGUG
rnacentral:rRNA from 1 species